GGGCCUAUAGCUCAGUGGUAGAGCAGCCGGCUCAUAACCGGCUGGUCCCUGGUUCGAACCCAGGUGGGCCCACCA
rnacentral:tRNA from 2 species